rnacentral:rRNA from 1 species
UGGGGAAUAUUGGACAAUGGGCGCAAGCCUGAUCCAGCCAUGCCGCGUGAGUGACGAAGGCCUUAGGGUUGUAAAGCUCUUUUGGCGGGGACGAUAAUGACGGUACCCGCAGAAUAAGCCCCGGCUAACUUCGUGCCAGCAGCCGCGGUAAUACGAAGGGGGCUAGCGUUGUUCGGAAUUACUGGGCGUAAAGCGCACGUAGGCGGAUGUGCCAGUCAGGGGUGAAAUCCCGAGGCUCAACCUCGGAACUGCCUACGAUACAGCACGUCUCGAGUCCGGAAGAGGUGAGUGGAAUUCCUAGUGUAGAGGUGAAAUUCGUAGAUAUUAGGAAGAACAUCAGUGGCGAAGGCGGCCCUCUGGUCCAGUACUGACACUCAAGUGCGAAAGCGUGGGGAGCAAACAGGAUUAGAUACCCUCGUAGUCCCUGAGCGGGCUGGCAAGGCGCAU